rnacentral:tRNA from 1 species
GGCGGGGUAGCUCAGUUGGUGAGAGCGCAGGAUUCAUAACCCUGAGGUCGGGAGUUCAAAUCUCCCCCCCGCUACCA